rnacentral:rRNA from 1 species
UACGUAGGGGGCAAGCGUUGUCCGGAAUCAUUGGGCGUAAAGAGCGUGUAGGCGGCUCGGUAAGUCCGCUGUGAAAGUCCAGGGCUCAACCCUGGAAUGCCGGUGGAAACUGUCGAGCUAGAGUCCGGAAGGGGCGAGUGGAAUUCCUGGUGUAGCGGUGAAAUGCGCAGAUAUCAGGAGGAACACCAAUGGCGAAGGCAGCUCGCUGGGACGUGACUGACGCUGAGACGCGAAAGCGUGGGGAGCAAACAGG